rnacentral:rRNA from 1 species
UACGGGGGGGGUAAGCGUUGUUCGGAUUCAUUGGGCGUAAAGGGUGCGUAGGCGGCGCGGUAAGUCGGGUGUGAAAUCUCGGGGCUUAACUCCGAAACUGCAUUCGAUACUGCCGUGCUUGAGGACUGGAGAGGAGACUGGAAUUUACAGUGUAGCGGUGAAAUGCGUAGAUAUCGUAAGGAAGACCAGUGGCGAAGGCGGGUCUCUGGACAGUUCCUGACGCUGAGGCACGAAGGUCAGGGGAGCAAACGGG